GUUCCUUGCAGCCCCGGGCCCCAGAGGAAACCGAGUCUGAACACGGCAGAAGUUGGAAGGCGAGGCCCUGAACUACUGGCAGAGCUGCAGCUGCUACUCUGUUUUCACUGUACACUUUCCAAACCGAGAGAAAAGAUCAUUUUCUAAACAACAUGUUUAUGUCAUCCUUCUCCAACCUUUCAGUUCCCUCGGGACAGCCCUUUUAGAAGAACAAACAACAAACUAAGAUAAUUGCUUGAGAUAAGCUUCCUGUGUAGAGGCCUGACGCAUAUCAAAUGGCAACAGACAGAAUCCAAUAGUCCUACAGAACUGCAACACCAAAGAUGGGGGGAAGGUUGAGAGUAAGCUUUCGAAGCAAGACUCAAAAUCCCAAACCACUCAUUUAGCUGCUGCUGCCCGCUAGGAUGGAUGGAAGCCAGCUUAUCCUCAACUGGAGUGGACAAUCCUGGACCCAUAGAGAAGACACACAACCUGUGGUUGAGCAAGAAAGACAAGAAGCCCAGCCUCCUUACCAAAUGGCGUCCUUCACUUACUUUUUGGUAGCAAGUGCUUUCUGACAAUGAUAACCAUGUUGGUGAUUUUUGCACGUUCCACAUGCGGGAUCCUUCUUUCAAAAAUCUUCCAA